GAUGAACGCUGGCGGCGUGCCUAAUACAUGCAAGUCGAGCGAACAGACGAGGAGCUUGCUCCUCUGACGUUAGCGGCGGACGGGUGAGUAACACGUGGAUAACCUACCUAUAAGACUGGGAUAACUUCGGGAAACCGGAGCUAAUACCGGAUAAUAUAUUGAACCGCAUGGUUCAAUAGUUAAAGACGGUUUUGCUGUCACUUAUAGAUGGAUCCGCGCCGCAUUAGCUAGUUGGUAAGGUAACGGCUUACCAAGGCAACGAUGCGUAGCCGACCUGAGAGGGUGAUCGGCCACACGGGAACUGAGACACGGUCCAGACUCCUACGGGAGGCAGCAGUAGGGAAUCUUCCGCAAUGGGCGAAAGCCUGACGGAGCAACGCCGCGUGAGUGAUGAAGGUCUUCGGAUCGUAAAACUCUGUUAUUAGGGAAGAACAAAUGUGUAAGUAACUAUGCACGUCUUGACGGUACCUAAUCAGAAAGCCACGGCUAACUACGUG
rnacentral:rRNA from 1 species